AUUGAACGCUGGCGGCAUGCUUUACACAUGCAAGUCGAACGGUAACAGGCCGCAAGAUGCUAACGAGUGGCGAACGGGUGAGUAAUGCAUCGGAACGUGCCCAGUCGUGGGGGAUAACGCAGCGAAAGCUGCGCUAAUACCGCAUACGAUCUAUGGAUGAAAGCGGGGGACCGUAAGGCCUCGCGCGAUUGGAUCGGCCGAUGUCAGAUUAGGUAGGUGGUGGGGUAAAGGCUCACCAAGCCAACGAUCUGUAGCUGGUCUGAGAGGACGACCAGCCACACUGGGACUGAGACACGGCCCAGACUCCUACGGGAGGCAGCAGUGGGGAAUUUUGGACAAUGGGCGCAAGCCUGAUCCAGCAAUGCCGCGUGCAGGAAGAAGGCCUUCGGGUUGUAAACUGCUUUUGUACGGAACGAAACGGUCCUGGUUAAUACCCGGGGCUAAUGACGGUACCGUAAGAAUAAGCACCGGCUAACUACGUGCCAGCAGCCGCAGUAAGAC
rnacentral:rRNA from 1 species